CUCAGGGCACCCAUCUCCUUCCCAGCUCUUGCUGUAGGCCAUCAAGGACGAGGCUGGCUUUUCCGCACCCCCGCCUGGCUAUGAGCAGGACAGCCCCGUCUCCUAUGACCGUUCUCAGGGGCAGUUUUCUCCGGUGGAGGAGAGCCCCCCUGACGACAUGCCCGAAGCCUGGCUCUUCCCUGUGAGAUGAUGCUGGUUUUGCCACUGUUUCCUGCCCUCUCUGACCACCUGUACUUCCCGGGCUGGGGCUGCUGGGGGCUCCCAGAGUUGUGGACUGGGCAGGGGGCACCUUCAGUCUCUGGAAGCCAAUGAUCUGUGCUCUGCAGGGUGGGCCCUCUGGCCGUGAUCAUACGGUGCUGACUGGCCCCGCAGGGCCAAAGGAGCUCUGGGAGCUGGUGUGGCAGCACAGGGCUCAUGUGCUUGUCUCUCUUUGCCCACCCAAUGUCAUGGAGAAGGUGACAGAGCAGAGGACAGAGGAAGGGAGGCUCAGGAGUUAGGGCCAUAGGAAUUCUGGCCAACGGAGAUGCAGCCCGUAGUCACAGACAUGGUGACGGUGCACUGGGUGGCUGAGAGCAGCACAGCAGGCUGGUUCUGUACCCUCCUCAGGGUCACACAUGUAGGUGCUGGGGCCACAGGGCAUGGGGUGGUGCAUGGGGAAGAGUCCUGUGUGGGCUUCCUCUGCCCUCUCCAGCACCAAUGCUGAUCAUGUCUUUGCCACAGGGGGAGAGCAGGAAGGAAAGGGAGGUGCAGAGACUGCAAUUUCCAUACCUGGAGCCUGGGCAUGAGCUGCCCGCCACCACCCUGCUGCCCUUCCUGGCUGCUGUGGGCCAGUGCUGCUCUCGGGGCAACAACAAGAAGCCGGGCACACUGCUCAGCCACUCCAAGUGUUGUUGGACAAUGGUCUUGGGGGAGUGGACAAUGGUCUUGGGGGAGCGGACACUGGAAGCCCCUCCCUGCCCUUCUGGCAUAGCCUCAGAUCUCCCUGGGCUCUGCUUGGGUUAUGGGUCAAAAGGACACAGUCUCACAAUGCCCCUGUCUUCUCCACACCCUACCCUGUCCUCAGGAAUAUGGUGGGAAUUUACCGCCUCCCUCCCUAGGUCCAGGCUGGCCGGCUGACCAAGUGUCCGGUGUCCCUUCUCAGUCCCUGCGCCCAGGUUGGGUUUUCCCACAUCCGUGGACACCCCCGCCACACCCCCUUUAGGUACCUCAUCCACCUCUAGGUCAGUUGCAGCAAGGGUGCAACCCAGCUGGGCACCUUCCUGGCCAUGGAGCAGCUGCUGCAGCAGGCAGGGUCUGAGUGCACCGUGGAUAUCUUUAACGUGGCCCUGCAGCAGUCUCAGGCCUGUGGCCUUAUGACCCCAACACUGGUGAGAGGCGAC
rnacentral:lncRNA from 1 species